UGGAAAAAAAAAAAAGCCAGACAGCCAC
rnacentral:piRNA from 1 species